GGCGUGGUGGUGCAGCAGGAGCACUACUGCCUCACAGCAAGCAGGUUGUAGGUUUGAAUCCGACCUGAGCCU